AGAGUUUGAUCAUGGCUCAGGACGAACGCUGGCGGCGUGCUUAACACAUGCAAGUCACGGGGGCUGGAGCAAUCCAGUAACCGGCGAACGGGUGCGUAACACGUGAGCAACCUGCCGAUCUGAGGGGGAUAGCCGGCCCAACGGCCGGGUAAUACCGCAUACGUUCUUGAGAGGACAUCCUCUUGGGAAGAAACCUCCGGGGCAGAUCGAGGGGCUCGCGGCCUAUCAGCUAGUUGGCGAGGUAACGGCUCACCAAGGCGACGACGGGUAGCUGGUCUGAGAGGAUGGCCAGCCACAUUGGGACUGAGAGACGGCCCAGACUCCUACGGGAGGCAGCAGUGGGGAAUCUUGCGCAAUGGCCGAAAGGCUGACGCAGCGACGCCGCGUGUGGGAUGAAGCAUUUCGGUGUGUAAACCACUGUUGCCCGGGACGAACAGCCUUUUUCGAGAGGCCUGACGGUACCGGGUGAGGAAGCACCGGCUAACUCAGUGCCAGCAGCCGCGGUAAUACGGAGGGUGCGAGCGUUGUCCGGAAUCACUGGGCGUAAAGGGCGCGUAGGUGGCGCGGGCAGUCAACGGUGAAAGUUCGGGGCUCAACCCUGAAUCGGCCGUCGAUACUCCCGUGCUUGAGCACUGUAGAGGCAGAUGGAAUUCCGGGUGUAGCGGUGGAAUGCGUAGAGAUCCGGAAGAACACCGGUGGCGAAGGCGGUCUGCUGGGCAGUAGCUGACACUGAGGCGCGACAGCGUGGGGAGCAAACAGGAUUAGAUACCCUGGUAGUCCACGCCGUAAACGAUGGGUACUAGGUGCUUGGGGGAGCGACCCCCUGAGUGCCGGCGCUAACGCAUUAAGUACCCCGCCUGGGGAGUACGGCCGCAAGGCUGAAACUCAAAGGAAUUGACGG
rnacentral:rRNA from 1 species